rnacentral:rRNA from 1 species
GUGUCAGCAGCCGCGGUAAGACGAACCGAGCGAACGUUGUUCGGAAUCACUGGGCUUAAAGGGCGCGUAGGCGGGCAUCAUAGUCUGUGGUGAAAUCCGGCAGCUUAACUGUCGAAUUGCCAUGGAUACUGGGUGUCUCGAGGGAGGCAGGGGUGCGCGGAACUGAUGGUGGAGCGGUGAAAUGCGUUGAUAUCAUCAGGAACUCCGGUGGCGAAGGCGGCGCACUGGUCCUUUUCUGACGCUGAGGCGCGAAAGCCAGGGGAGCAAACGGGAUUAGAUACCCCAGUAGUCC